rnacentral:rRNA from 1 species
AAAUCAGGUAGGAUUACCCGCUGAA